CCGCUGCGGGUCUUUCCCUCACUCGUCCUCCGCGCGUCGCCGCUCUUCGGUUCUGCUCUGUCCGCCGCCAUGGCCCAAGCUGACAUCGCGCUGAUCGGAUUGGCCGUCAUGGGCCAGAACUUAAUUCUGAACAUGAAUGACCACGGCUUUGUGGACUUUUGUCCUUCUAGGUCUGUGCUUUUAAUAGGACUGUCUCCAAAGUUGAUGAUUUCUUGGCCAAUGAGGCAAAGGGAACCAAAGUGGUGGGUGCCCAGUCCCUGAAAGAGAUGGUCUCCAAGCUGAAGAAGCCCCGGCGGAUCAUCCUCCUGGUGAAGGCUGGGCAAGCUGUGGAUGAUUUCAUCGAGAAAUUGGUG
rnacentral:lncRNA from 1 species